ensembl:rRNA 5S_rRNA 5S ribosomal RNA
GGUUACAGCCAUACCACCUUAGGCACGCCCGAUCUCGGCUGAUCUUGGAAGCUAAGCAGGGUCGGGCCUGGUUAGUACUUGGAUGGGUGACCGCCUGGGAAUACCAGGUGCUGUAAGCA